AGAGUUUGAUCCUGGCUCAGGAUGAACGCUAGCGACAGGCUUAACACAUGCAAGUCGAGGGGCAGCACAGGUAGCAAUACCGGGUGGCGACCGGCGCACGGGUGAGUAACGCGUAUGCAACUUACCUAUCAGAGGGGGAUAGCCCGGCGAAAGUCGGAUUAAUACCCCAUAAAACAGGGGUCCCGCAUGGGAAUAUUUGUUAAAGAUUCAUCGCUGAUAGAUAGGCAUGCGUUCCAUUAGGCAGUUGGCGGGGUAACGGCCCACCAAACCGACGAUGGAUAGGGGUUCUGAGAGGAAGGUCCCCCACAUUGGUACUGAGACACGGACCAAACUCCUACGGGAGGCAGCAGUGAGGAAUAUUGGUCAAUGGCCGAGAGGCUGAACCAGCCAAGUCGCGUGAAGGAAGAAGGAUCUAUGGUUUGUAAACUUCUUUUAUAGGGGAAUAAAGUGGAGGACGUGUCCUUUUUUGUAUGUACCCUAUGAAUAAGCAUCGGCUAACUCCGUGCCAGCAGCCGCGGUAAUACGGAGGAUGCGAGCGUUAUCCGGAUUUAUUGGGUUUAAAGGGUGCGUAGGUGGUGAUUUAAGUCAGCGGUGAAAGUUUGUGGCUCAACCAUAAAAUUGCCGUUGAAACUGGGUUACUUGAGUGUGUUUGAGGUAGGCGGAAUGCGUGGUGUAGCGGUGAAAUGCAUAGAUAUCACGCAGAACUCCGAUUGCGAAGGCAGCUUACUAAACCAUAACUGACACUGAAGCACGAAAGCGUGGGGAUCAAACAGGAUUAGAUACCCUGGUAGUCCACGCAGUAAACGAUGAUCACUAGCUGUUUGCGAUACACUGUAAGCGGCACAGCGAAAGCGUUAAGUGAUCCACCUGGGGAGUACGCCGGCAACGGUGAAACUCAAAGGAAUUGACGGGGGCCC
rnacentral:rRNA from 1 species